GAUGAACGCUGGCGGCGUGCCUAAUACAUGCAAGUCGAGCGAACAGACGAGGAGCUUGCUCCUCUGACGUUAGCGGCGGACGGGUGAGUAACACGUGGAUAACCUACCUAUAAGACUGGGAUAACUUCGGGAAACCGGAGCUAUACCGGAUAAUAUAUUGAACCGCAUGGUUCAAUAGUGAAAGACGGUUUUGCUGUCACUUAUAGAUGGAUCCGCGCCGCAUUAGCUAGUUGGUAAGGUAACGGCUUACCAAGGCAACGAUGCGUAGCCGACCUGAGAGGGUGAUCGGCCACACUGGAACUGAGGCACGGUCCAGACUCCUACGGGAGGCAGCAGUAGGGAAUCUUCCGCAAUGGGCGAAAGCCUGACGGAGCAACGCCGCGUGAGUGAUGAAGGUCUUCGGAUCGUAAAACUCUGUUAUUAGGGAAGAACAAAUGUGUAAGUAACUAUGCACGUCUUGACGGUACCUAAUCAGAAAGCCACGGCUAACUACGUG
rnacentral:rRNA from 1 species